ACACUAUUGGUGUUCACAUGACAAUAGCGUCCCUCUCUCAAUAUCUGUUCCUCACCCCCACACGUAGUAGCAAGCUUGUAGUACACUCUCCCUCCCCAAACUAUGAAGCCACACAAGCAACAUCAAGCCAGGAAGCUAUCGUUACCUGCCUGUGGCUAUCACGUCCACUGGCGGAGUCGUUUGUAAGGGAGCCAAUGACGUGUAGGCUGGAUCUGUCUUCACCGCCAUUAGCCUUGGUUGAAGUUCCACUGCCUCUGCAUCUUUGUGGCUAAAUAACCACAGCCAGAGCCCUUCGCCUGCCUUGGCCGAAUAACAGAAUGAUUUCUUGGUUAGUUGAUUCGACUCAAUCGAAGGAUGAGGAGCUUGUCACGGAGGACUGCGGGCUGCUCGGGGUGGGCAGCGAUCAUGGAGGCUCCAGUCUUCCACCAAGAACAUAUCCUUUCGAGCGAGGUCUUUGAUCUCGACGGCACCUUUUCUGCUGAUGCUAUCGACAAAAGGGAAGGGAUCAGCCAAUGAGGAGGCUGAGGGGUCUCCUCGAUCGAAGAGAUUGUCCUCGUCUUCUCAACUGCUGCUUGAUCUGAGCCCUCUCAAGCGCAAGCGAAAGAGUCCCCGGGUAUACUGAUUGAAGUUCUUAUUAUCUUUUUAUUUCCUUUCAAAUUAUUAAGUAGAUACCUGAAUGCAUUCAAUUUGGAUGAGUGGCGUCUUGUUAGGGAACGGCGAGUGUACCAGCUCAAUCGCCUCCUCGAGCAACCGCUGCUCUCGAUGACCCGGUCGAAAAGGGGACGUCUGGUGCAUCCUCGCAAUCGCCAACUCGAGGGACCGUCAUGCCUGAUGACUCUACUAGAGAGGUUACUGAUGACUUGACUUUGCCUGGUCCAUAUGUAACUCCUCCACCAGCUCCACCUACCGGACCAAGAACAAAGAAG